UAGGGAGUAAGUUAUAAUUAAACUAUGGGGCUCAUGACCCUAAAAAGAUUUUUAAUCCUUUCUAA
rnacentral:tRNA from 1 species